CCAUGCCGCGUGUAUGAAAAAGGCCUUCGGGUUGUAAAGUAUUUUCAGCGGGGAGGAAGGUGUUGUGGUUAAUAACCACAGCAAUUGACGUUACCCGCAGAAGAAGCACCGGCUAACUCCGUGCCAGCAGCCGCGGUAAUACGGAGGGUGCAAGCGUUAAUCGGAAUUACUGGGCGUAAAGCGCACGCAGGCGGUCUGUCAAGUCGGAUGUGAAAUCCCCGGGCUCAACCUGGGAACUGCAUUCGAAACUGGCAGGCUAGAGUCUUGUAGAGGGGGGUAGAAUUCCAGGUGUAGCGGUGAAAUGCGUAGAGAUCUGGAGGAAUACCGGUGGCGAAGGCGGCCCCCUGGACAAAGACUGACGCUCAGGUGCGAAAGCGUGGGGAGCAAACAGGAUUAAAUACCCUGGUAGUCCACGCCGUAAACGAUGUCGAUUUGGAGGUUGUGCCCUUGAGGCGUGGCUUCCGGAGCUAACGCGUUAAACCGACCGCCUGGGGAGUACGGCCGCAAGGUUAAAACUCAAAUGAAUUGACGGGGGCCCGCACAAGCGGUGGAGCAUGUGGUUUAAUUCUAUGCAACGCGAAGAACCUUACCUGGUCUUGACAUCCACAGAACUUUCCCAGAGAUGGAUUGGUGCCUUCGGGAACUGUGAGACAGGUGCUGCAUGGCUCUCGACAGCACCC
rnacentral:rRNA from 1 species